rnacentral:rRNA from 1 species
UACAGAGGUCUCAAGCGUUGUUCGGAUUCAUUGGGCGUAAAGGGUGUGUAGGUGGCGCGCUAAGUCGGGUGUGAAAUUUCGGAGCUUAACUCCGAAACUGCAUUCGAUACUGGCGUGCUUGAGGACUGGAGAGGAGACUGGAACUCAUGGUGUAGCAGUGAAAUGCGUAGAGAUCAUGAGGAAGACCAGUGGCGAAGGCGGGUCUCUGGACAGUUCCUGACGCUGAGGCACGAAGGUCAGGGGAGCAAACGGG